GUCCACUAACUCUGCAGCACACGUGCAGAACCUGGUUUUCAUUAAUUGGUCCACGCGCUGCUCACCUGCACUAAUUAGCUAAUUCAUUAAAUCAAAGUUACUUCCAUCGGUGAAGAGAAGACUAAACGACGGUUAAAUGGUACAUGUGGUACUCUCAGGCAACUAAAAGAGAUGAAGCUCACCAGUGAGGGAUGGUGAAGGGCAGGAACGAAGAAUGGCGAAGGAUCUCCAGGAUGAAGGCCUCCAGAAAGGGUUGCCCUGGCAACGACUCUAGUGUGAGCGGUGACCGCACGGCAGGGGGCGGAGCUGUUAGUGUCAAAGAUGCAAGCAAGGCUCCACUUGCCCAGUUCGUCCCAUCUGCGUGGUUAGGGAUUAUUUAUAUGUUGGCACUUUGACCACCAGCAUCCUUUAUCAACAAAGAAACAAAGAGUCAA